rnacentral:rRNA from 1 species
UGUGAGAUGCAGUGUAUGGAAUGUCAAAUUUCUAGUAUGAGAAAUUAACUAUUUAAGUCCUUCUUAAAUGAGGCCAUUUACCCAUAGAGGGUGCCAGGCCCGUAUAAAGUUAAUGAUUACUAGAUGGCAUUUCCAAAGAGUCGUGUUGCUUGAUAGUGCAGCACUAAGUUGGUGGUAAACUCCAUCUAAAACUAAAUAUAACCAUGAGACCGAUAGUAAACAAGUACCGUGAGGGAAAGUUGAAAAGAACUCUGAAUAGAGAGUUAAAUAGUACGUGAAACUGCUUAGAGGUUAAGCCCGAUGAACCUGAAUAUCCAUUAUAGAAAAUUCAUCAUUAUGAUUUUAAUAUUAAUAAUAUUAUAAUAAUGGUGUGCAUUUUUUCUAUAACGGACAUUGUAAUCUAUUAACAUAAAUAUAUUUAUCAUAAGAUCAAUGAUGCGUAAGUUUAUUCAAAUUAUUUUGCUUGCAAUUUAACAUAGAAUAAAUGCUUCUUGAUUUGAUAAAGUGUUGAUAGAUUUAUUGUAUAUAGUGCUUAAAUAUUUAUAUUUUAUAAUAGCAUAUUAAUCAUUGAUUUUUAUGUUUAUUAUAUGCACUUAUAUGAUUAACAAUGCGAAAGAUUCAGGAUACCUUCGGGACCCGUCUUGAAACACGGACCAAGGAGUCUAACAUAUUUGCAAGUUAUUGGGUUUUUUAAACCUAAUAGCGAAAUUAACAUAACUUAAUGGGAUUAGUUUUUAGAUUAUUUAUAGUCUAUUAAUUCAAUCCCGGGGCGUUCUAUAUAGUUAUGUAUAAUAAUAUUUAUAUUAUUUAUACCUCUAACUAGAGCGUACCUUGAGCAUAUAUGCUGUGACCCGAAAGAUGGUGAACUAUACUUGAUCAGGUUGAAGUCAGGGGAAACCCUGAUGGAAGACCGAAAC